ACUAAAAGUAGUAGAAAAUCUAUGUAGAAAUUUCUGUGUAGAUAAUUCCAUGUUUUCUAGUAGAAAACCAUUCUAUAACUAUGAUUCUAUGAUCUAGAUCAGCCUAAAGUGGUAAUGAAGCUUCAUCCUGCAUCUGUCUAUGGCUAUCUCUGAAGAUACUUUGUGCUCAAAGACUCCCGAGGCAUGUGGGCUUUGGAAAAAUAAAGCUAACUUGGUCACGCAGACAGAAAUGUCAGCAGGACCCAAUCAUUUUUAUCACCACUAGUGCUACAAUAUGACAAGAAGAUUGGAGAAAAAUGGGAAUGUAAAAGUAAUCCCUGCAACAGGUAGGGGUUUUUACAUAUAGAUAGCAUGUUUAGUUUGAUAAAAAAUUCUUCUUGUAGAUGGAUAUUUUUCUAAAUAUCUGCUAUCAAGAAAACACCCAGAAGGUGCCAAGUUCCAUUUCUUUUUUUUCUAGCUACAGCAAAAUAGACUGAAUUUAUAAAUGCCAUUUUUAUGCCACUGGUUUAUUGAUAUUAAGUUCUGAAAACUGUGAAGAAGCCUGGCAAAUGAGAGGCUAUUUCAUUUUAAUAUAGAAGUGAUGGUUCUGUGACCUUUAUAUGUCAUUUCUUAUAUGAUCCUACCAAGCAGCGUGAGAAAAAAAUGACAUUUUGGAUGAGGGUCCAGCCUGGUGAAUGUAGUGAUAUAGUGAUAGUUUGUUGUUUUCUGUUUUUUCCUAGACAUCUGUUUUGAAAAAAAAAAAAAAAAAGGUUGGGGGUGGGGGUGGGAAGGGGAUAUAAAAAAGAAUUUCAAGUAGAACACAAAAUUGAUUAAAACUUUAUUGCAGAACUGUACUAGUUUACCCUGCACAGAAAAGCAAAUGGAUCUUUAAUUUGUUUUGAUUUCUAUGAUAACCUUAAUUUAAAAUAGGAAGUGAUACAGUAUGUUCAUAAAAAAAAAAUGUUUGCCAAAUAAGUAAAUGUGUAGACACAUGAUAACAAAAGCCAGUCUCCUAAAUUCACCAUUGCAUUUUGUAAAUUUUCUCAGUCCAGAUUACAAAGGUUCAAGGUUAGGAGAAAAAUAAAACAGACAAUAAAACAAAACA
rnacentral:lncRNA from 1 species